rnacentral:rRNA from 1 species
GUAAAAGUCGUAACAAGGUCUCCGUAGGUGAACCUGCGGAGGGAUCAUUACACAAAUAUGAAGGCGGGCUGGAACCUCUCGGGGUUACAGCCUUGCUGAAUUAUUCACCCUUGUCUUUUGCGUACUUCUUGUUUCCUUGGUGGGUUCGCCCACCACUAGGACAAACAUAAACCUUUUGUAAAUGCAAUCAGCGUCAGUAACAAAUUAAUAAUUACAACUUUCAACAACGGAUCUCUUGGUUCUGGCAUCGACGAAGAACGCAGCGAAAUGCGAUAAGUAGUGUGAAUUGCAGAAUUCAGUGAAUCAUCGAAUCUUUGAACGCACAUUGCGCCCUUUGGUAUUCCAAAGGGCAUGCCUGUUCGAGCGUCAUUUGUACCCUCAAGCUUUGCUUGGUGUUGGGCGUCUUGUCUCUAGCUUUGCUGGAGACUCGCCUUAAAGUAAUUGGCAGCCGGCCUACUGGUUUCGGAGCGCAGCACAAGUCGCACUCUCUAUCAGCAAAGGUCUAGCAUCCAUUAAGCCUUUUUUUCAACNNUUGACCUCGGAUCAGGUAGGGAUACCC